UACGGGGGGGGCAAGCGUUGUUCGGAAUUACUGGGCGUAAAGGGCUCGUAGGCGGCCAACUAAGUCAUACGUGAAAUCCCCCGGCUUAACCGGGGAACUGCGUCUGAUACUGGAUGGCUUGAGUUCGGGAGAGGGAUGCGGAAUUCCAGGUGUAGCGGUGAAAUGCGUAGAUAUCUGGAGGAACACCGGUGGCGAAGGCGGCCAUCUGGACCGCAACUGACGCUGAGGCGCGAAAGCGUGGGGAGCAAACAGG
rnacentral:rRNA from 1 species